UACGAAGGGGGCUAGCGUUGCUCGGAAUCACUGGGCGUAAAGCGCACGUAGGCGGAUUGUUAAGUCAGGGGUGAAAUCCUGGAGCUCAACUCCAGAACUGCCUUUGAUACUGGCGAUCUCGAGUCCGGGAGAGGUGAGUGGAACUGCGAGUGUAGAGGUGAAAUUCGUAGAUAUUCGCAAGAACACCAGUGGCGAAGGCGGCUCACUGGCCCGAUACUGACGCUGAGGUGCGAAAGCGUGGGGAGCAAACAGG
rnacentral:rRNA from 1 species